rnacentral:rRNA from 1 species
UUGACGGAGAGUUUGAUCCUGGCUCAGGACGAACGCUGGCGGCGGGCCUAAUACAUGCAAGUCGAACGCAGUCGACCUUCGGGUCAUAUGACUGAGUGGCGAACGGGUGAGUAACACGUGAGAAACCUGCCCCGAAGACUGGAAUAACCCGAGGAAACUCGGGCUAAUACCGGAUGUCCCCAGAUGGCCGCAUGGCCGACUGAGGAAAUGCUCCGGCGCUUUGGGAGGGUCUCGCGGCCUAUCAGCUUGUUGGUGAGGUAACGGCUCACCAAGGCUUCGACGGGUAGCUGGUCUGAGAGGACGAUCAGCCACACUGGGACUGAGAUACGGCCCAGACUCCUACGGGAGGCAGCAGUAGGGAAUCUUGCGCAAUGGGCGAAAGCCUGACGCAGCCACGCCGCGUGAGUGAUGAAGGCCUUCGGGUCGUAAAGCUCUUUCAGCAGGGACGAAAAUGACGGUACCUGCAGAAGAAGCCCCGGCCAACUACGUGCCAGCAGCCGCGGUAACACGUAGGGGGCAAGCGUUGUCCGGAUUUAUUGGGCGUAAAGGGCUCGUAGGCUGUUCAGUAAGUCAGGUGUGAAAACUCGAGGCUCAACCUCGAGAUGCCACUUGAUACUGCUGUGACUAGAGUUCGGUAGAGGAGUGUGGAAUUCCUAGUGUAGCGGUGAAAUGCGCAGAUAUUAGGAGGAACACCAACAGCGAAGGCAGCACUCUGGGCCGAUACUGACGCUGAGGAGCGAAAGCGUGGGGAGCGAACAGGAUUAGAUACCCUGGUAGUCCACGCCGUAAACGGUGGGCACUAGAUGUGGGAUCCAGUCAACGGAUUCCGCGUCGUAGCUAACGCAUUAAGUGCCCCGCCUGGGGAGUACGGCCGCAAGGCUAAAACUCAAAGGAAUUGACGGGGGCCCGCACAAGCGGCGGAGCAUGUUGCUUAAUUCGAGGCAACGCGAAGAACCUUACCUGGGUUUGACAUGUAGGG